GAUGAAGAACGCAGCGAAAUGCGAUACGUAAUGUGAAUUGCAAAUUCAGUGAAUCAUCGAGUCUUUGAACGCACAUUGCGCCCCCUGGUAUUCCGGGGGGCAUGCCUGUCCGAGCGUCAUUGCUGCCCUCAAGCACGGCUUGUGUGUUGGGCCCCGUCCUCCGAUCCCGGGGGACGGGCCCGAAAGGCAGCGGCGGCACCGCGUCCGGUCCUCGAGCGUAUGGGGCUUUGUCACCCGCUCUGUAGGCCCGGCCGGCGCUUGCCGAUCAACCCAAAUUUUUAUCCAGGUUGACCUCGGAUCAGGUAGGGAUACCCGCUGAACUUAAGCAUAUCAAUAAACGGAGGA
rnacentral:misc_RNA from 1 species